rnacentral:piRNA from 1 species
UCUCAUGCCAAUAGCAGCCAAUACAGAA